rnacentral:rRNA from 1 species
UACAGAGGGGGCAAGCGUUGUUCGGAAUUACUGGGCGUAAAGGGCGCGUAGGCGGCCGCCUAAGUCAGACGUGAAAUCCCUCGGCUCAACCGGGGAACUGCGUCUGAUACUGGGUGGCUUGAAUCCGGGAGAGGGAUGCGGAAUUCCAGGUGUAGCGGUGAAAUGCGUAGAUAUCUGGAGGAACACCGGCGGUGUAGACGGCUUUCUGGACCGUAGCUGACGCUGAGACACGAAAGCGUGGGUAGCAAACAGG